AGAGUUUGAUCCUGGCUCAGAUUGAACGCUGGCGGCAGGCUUAACACAUGCAAGUCGAGCGGAGUGAUUGUGCUUGCACAAUCACUUAGCGGCGGACGGGUGAGUAAUGCUUAGGAAUCUGCCAUUUAGUGGGGGACAACAUUCCGAAAGGAAUGCUAAUACCGCAUACGUCCUACGGGAGAAAGCAGGGGAUCUUCGGACCUUGCGCUAAAUGAUGAGCCUAAGUCGGAUUAGCUAGUUGGUGGGGUAAAGGCCUACCAAGGCGACGAUCUGUAGCGGGUCUGAGAGGAUGAUCCGCCACACUGGGACUGAGACACGGCCCAGACUCCUACGGGAGGCAGCAGUGGGGAAUAUUGGACAAUGGGCGGAAGCCUGAUCCAGCCAUGCCGCGUGUGUGAAGAAGGCCUUUUGGUUGUAAAGCACUUUAAGCGAGGAGGAGGCUACCUAGAUUAAUACUCUAGGAUAGUGGACGUUACUCGCAGAAUAAGCACCGGCUAACUCUGUGCCAGCAGCCGCGGUAAUACAGAGGGUGCGAGCGUUAAUCGGAUUUACUGGGCGUAAAGCGUGCGUAGGCGGCUGAUUAAGUCGGAUGUGAAAUCCCUGAGCUUAACUUAGGAAUUGCAUUCGAUACUGGUCAGCUAGAGUAUGGGAGAGGAUGGUAGAAUUCCAGGUGUAGCGGUGAAAUGCGUAGAGAUC
rnacentral:rRNA from 1 species